rnacentral:lncRNA from 1 species
GAUGAAGGGCUUUCUUUGAAUCCCAACUUUACUCUAAGGGAUAAUGAAGGACAAAGGAUUAAUUUCACAAAAAUCUCAGGAGGCAUUUUCUUCCCUUGCUUUCACAACCCUAAACAACAGGAUACUGCUCUGACUUUGAGCUGCAGUGCAUUAUUGCAUAAAUAUUCCGUUCUACUCCAUUAUCAGUACAGCUACAAGAUCAAAAGACUCUACAGUAGUAAAUCAGAUCCUUAAAUGUUAACACAUCCAUAUGCUUUCACUGAUAUCUAGAAGAGUUACACAAGCAUAACAUUUCCUAAUUUAUCCCUACAUAAUCUCAACAUAUGUAUGAUUCAGAUUAGUAGUAUCCCAUUGCUUCAGCAUAGGAAAUAGAUAUUAAAUAGUCAGUCCAUACAAUUGAUUGUAUGGCCAUGUAAGAUUAUGUCUCUUGAGCCUGAGCUUGAGCCUUUGCUCAUUAACAAUCCACGGUUUUAAAGCUCCCGUGCUUGAGUACAUACCCUCAAAAUACAGAAAUUAAAACCCUUAGAGGAGGAUAUAGGACUAUAUUAAAUAUGCGGUCUAUCUGAACCUAAGAAUUGUUUAGAUCACCUUCUGGAUUCUGAUGGUGUUGAUGAUUUUCAUUUUAAAGGAAAAAUACAGAGAAGACAGAAUAUAUUUUUUUCCCUGCUGACUACCUUAUGCUACAGUACAUUCUUUGAUGCUGGCUGAAGUUUUUUAUUUUGACAGUUCAGAGAGAGAGAAAAAAAAAAAAUUAAGAGUAUGAGCAAGAGGACAGCCAGCAAAAUGAUGCAGUAUCCAUACCCAUGUAAGCAAGACAAAACAAGAAGGGUUAUAACAUUUCUUUGCUAUACAAAGAAAAUGCAUUAGGUUGUAAUAAUUCCCUGAAGUCUGCAAUUUUAGAAAGCAAAUCCAGGAAACAUGCCUCUUUGUUUGAGAAUUGUACUUAUGAUGGCUUUUUAAUGAAAACAGUG